rnacentral:lncRNA from 1 species
GGAAUUAUCACAAGAAAUUGGAGAUCGGGGUUCAAAUGGAGAAAGGGAAAUGUGGAGACAUUUUCUGGAGACGGGGUUCAAAUGGAGAAAGGGAGAUGUUGCGGCAUUUUCUGGAGAACGGGGUUCACAAUGGAGAUCGCAAGUUAUCGUCAGGCGACUGGGGUUCAAACUGGAGAAUGGGGUUCAUUAUUGUGGCAAACAGGAGAAUGGGGUUCGAAUGCGGUGAUCGGGGAUCAUUUGUGAAAAGAAAAAUUUUGGGGUUCAAGAAAAUGAAAAAAGCAAAGAAGAGAAAAUUUCGGGGUUCAAGAAAAGAAACAGAAAAAAAAGAAGAAAU